UACGAGGGGCUAGCGUUGUUCGGAAUUACUGGGCGUAAAGCGCACGUAGGCGGACUAUUAAGUCAGGGGUGAAAUCCCGGGGCUCAACCCCGGAACUGCCUUUGAUACUGGUAGUCUCGAGUCCGGAAGAGGUGAGUGGAAUUCCGAGUGUAGAGGUGAAAUUCGUAGAUAUUCGGAGGAACACCAGUGGCGAAGGCGGCUCACUGGUCCAUUACUGACGCUGAGGUGCGAAAGCGUGGGGAGCAAACAGGG
rnacentral:rRNA from 1 species